GCGUCUGUGGUGGAAUGGCAGACACGCAUGCCUUAGGAGCAUGUUCUUCGGAGUGUGGGUUCGACUCCCACCAGGCGCA
rnacentral:tRNA from 1 species